GACGAACGCUGGCGGCGUGCUUAACACAUGCAAGUCGAACGGAAAGGCCCUGCUUUUGUGGGGUGCUCGAGUGGCGAACGGGUGAGUAACACGUGAGUAACCUGCCCUUGCCUUUGGGAUACCUUCAGGAACCUGGGGCUAAUACCGGAUAGGAGCUCCUGCUGCAUGGUGGGGGUUGGAAAGUUUCGGCGGUUGGGGAUGGACUCGCGGCUUAUCAGCUUGUUGGUGGGGUAGUGGCUUACCAAGGCUUUGACGGGUAGCCGGCCUGAGAGGGUGACCGGCCACAUUGGGACUGAGAUACGGCCCAGACUCCUACGGGAGGCAGCAGUGGGGAAUAUUGCACAAUGGGCGGAAGCCUGAUGCAGCAACGCCGCGUGCGGGAUGACGGCCUUCGGGUUGUAAACCGCUUUCGCCUGUGACGAAGCGUGAGUGACGGUAAUGGGUAAAGAAGCACCGGCUAACUACGUG
rnacentral:rRNA from 1 species